rnacentral:lncRNA from 1 species
GACCCUCCGUGUUGGGGGGCAUUCAGUUGAUUGUUGACCUCAACAGGGGCGAUGAGCUUAUGUGUUUGAGCCUGCCUAGCCUCGUGAAGCAUCUCGAAAAGUUUUUCAUAUUGUUCCUGGAAGACUUCAUUCUUCAUCGCUAUCUUGUUGUUCUGAACCUUUAGCUCAUCGACUUUAGCUUGAAGAGUAACUCUAUUUCCUUCCUGCUUUCGUUGCUUCAUACUAGGUCCAGCGGGGGUGUCAUUCUGUGUGCUGUGGCUUCUUUCGCUCCCCAUGUCGGAGAGAGAUGCUUGGCCAAAAGAAAGUGUACGAAUGGUGGAAACCAGCUUGACAGAGCUGUAGAGAGUAGGAAUAAGUGUGUUUCCCACAGACGGCGCCAAAUGUUGAUGCACAAAAUCAGCUAGGACUUUGGUACAACAGAAAGUGUCAGGUUUUGUGACCUUCGCUUGGUUGCUUCAGUCACUAGUGAGGAUAAGUACGUAAAUGAAUAGAGACAGAGAAGCAAACACA